rnacentral:rRNA from 1 species
ACGGCUACCUUGUUACGACUUCACCCUAAUCAUCUGUCCUACCUUAGACGGCUGACUCCUAUAAAGGUUAUCCCACCGGCUUUGGGUGUUACAGACUCUCAUGGUGUGACGGGCGGUGUGUACAAGGCCCGGGAACGUAUUCACCGCGGCGUGCUGAUCCGCGAUUACUAGCGAUUCCAGCUUCGUGUAGGCGAGUUGCAGCCUACAGUCCGAACUGAGAACGGCUUUAAGAGAUCCGCUUGCCUUCGCAGGUUCGCUUCUCGUUGUACCGUCCAUUGUAGCACGUGUGUAGCCCAGGUCAUAAGGGGCAUGAUGACUUGACGUCAUCCCCACCUUCCUCCGGUUUGUCACCGGCAGUCUCAUUAGAGUGCCCAACUUAAUGAUGGCAACUAAUGACAAGGGUUGCGCUCGUUGCGGGACUUAACCCAACAUCUCACGACACGAGCUGACGACAGCCAUGCACCACCUGUCUCAGCGUCCCCGAAGGGAACACCUAAUCUCUUAGGUUUGCACUGGAUGUCAAGACCUGGUA